rnacentral:SRP_RNA from 2 species
GGCCCGGUCCCCUGCAAUGGAGCGCGUUCGAACCGGGUCAGGCCGGGAACGGAGCAGCCCUAAGGACUGCGUUUCAGGUGCGGGGUGCCCGGGUCCUC